rnacentral:rRNA from 1 species
UAGGGAAUAUUCCGCAAUGGGCGAAAGCCUGACGGAGCAACGCCGCGUGAGGGAAGAAGGUCUUCGGAUUGUAAACCUCUGUCCUUGGGGACGAAAAAAAUGACGGUAGCCGAGGAGGAAGCCACGGCUAACUACGUGCCAGCAGCCGCGGUAAUACGUAGGUGGCGAGCGUUGUCCGGAAUUACUGGGUGUAAAGGGAGCGCAGGCGGGGAGACAAGUCAGCUGUGAAAACUAUGGGCUUAACCCAUAAACUGCAGUUGAAACUGUUUUUCUUGAGUGGAGUAGAGGUAGGCGGAAUUCCGAGUGUAGCGGUGAAAUGCGUAGAUAUUCGGAGGAACACCAGUGGCGAAGGCGGCCUACUGGGCUCUAACUGACGCUGAGGCUCGAAAGUGUGGGGAGCAAACA